rnacentral:sRNA from 1 species
CCUCGGAUCGCCCUGACCGCGAUCGCGC